UACGGGGGGGGCAAGCGUUGUUCGGAUUUACUGGGCGUAAAGGGCGCGUAGGCGGCCAGCACAAGUCAGUUGUGAAAUCUCCGAGCUUAACUCGGAACGGUCAACUGAUACUGUGCGGCUAGAGUGCGGAAGGGGCAACUGGAAUUCUUGGUGUAGCGGUGAAAUGCGUAGAUAUUGGGAAGAACACCGGUGGCGAAGGCGGCGACCUGGUCCGAUACUGACGCUGAGGCGCGAAAGCGUGGGGAGCAAACAGG
rnacentral:rRNA from 1 species